rnacentral:siRNA from 1 species
GGGUGAAAACUAAAUGAAGUGUU